CAGUGCACAAGGCAAGGCUUUAAAUCUGCAUAGUAACCUUACUCUUGUUCACUGUGAUUUUCUGGUAAUCUCCAAUAACUGACUCCCCCUACCCCCAACAUCCUCCUUUGUCUUCAGCUUAAGGUGGCAUUUAAGAUGAGAAUCUCUGUC